UACAGAGGGGGCAAGCGUUGUUCGGAAUUACUGGGCGUAAAGGGCGCGUAGGCGGCCUUCUAAGUCGAACGUGAAAUCCCCGGGCUCAACCCGGGAACUGCGUCCGAUACUGGAAGGCUUGAAUCCGGGAGAGGGAUGCGGAAUUCCAGGUGUAGCGGUGAAAUGCGCAGAUAUCAGGAAGAACACCUAUGGCGAAGGCAGCUCUCUGGGACGGUACUGACGCUGAGACGCGAAAGCGUGGGGAGCGAACAGG
rnacentral:rRNA from 1 species